UAAAYGACUCUCGGCAACGGAUAUCUUGGCUCACGCAUCGAUGAAGAACGUAGCAAAAUGCGAUACUUGGUGUGAAUUGCAGAAUCCCGUGAACCAUCGAGUUUUUGAACGCAAGUUGCGCCCRAAGCCAUUCGGCCGAGGGCACGUCUGCCUGGGCGUCACGC
rnacentral:rRNA from 1 species